AAAAAAAAGUCUCGCGACUCUCUUCCUUUCUCCUUCCUUCCUCUCGUAAAGAAGCCCCACAGACGCAAUGACGCUAACCUUCAAAUUUAUUCCUCUUUCCUCUCUUCUCAAAUCUUCCCGCUUCAUCCUCAAACGUACACCGGACGCUACGUUUCUCCGGCGACGGCGGAUUCUUUUUCUAAUCAAAUCGACCGCCCAGUUCUCUCCGGUCGUUUUUAUUCGCAGAUUGAUUGCGUCGGAUUUGUCGAGGAAACCUAGGAAUUUUUGUGGAUUUUACGUUAGCGUAAACGAAGGAUCGAUGGAUAAAUCCAGUAAAUGUGCUGUUUGCCACACUUUAUUUCGUGCUUCAAUCUGCGUAGCUUGUGUUAAUCGCAGGUUAAAUGAAUACAAAAUCAUGUUGGACUCGUUGAAGAGCCGUCGGGAGAUUUCAUACUUGAGAUUAAGUGGCUUGCUUGUCACAAAGGAGAAAGCGAUUAGUCAACAUUGUUGGGUGGAGCUUCAGAAUGAGAAGCUUGCUAGGUUGCGGGAGAAGCUCCAGCUAGAAGUGGAGAAAUUACAUCAAAGCAAAAGCACAUUUAGGAGACUAUCUCAUAAUCUGAAAGAGAGAUAUGGCAUUAUCGAAUCAACUAACUUUGCGUUGGAGAAGAGCCGUGUUGGACAAUUGGAGAACCACUAUUCAGAUACUAUUGGCAACCACUACUUGGUAUAUAUCGAGCUUACGUCAGAACGCCUUUAUAAACAGGCUCUGGUUAUGAAACAGAUUUGCAAAUUAUUCCCUCUAUCCAGGGUGAAAUUAGAAGGCCGUAACAAAGAUGGGUGUAGUGGACAGUAUGAUCAAAUCUGCAAUGCUCUCUUACCACAAGGUCUCAACCCACUCUCUGUUCCGCCAAAAGAGCUCGCAGCCUCUUUAGGGUACAUGGUGCAACUUCUGAAUCUUGUUGUCCAUAAGCUCGCAGUGCCUGCACUCCACAACUUGGGUUUUGGGGGUUCUUGUUCAAGAAUAUGGCAACGAGAUUCUUAUUGGAACUCUCAUCCGUCUUCUCCAAACGAUGAGUAUCCCCUUUUUGUACCAUCCCAUGAUUACUACUCCUUUGAAGGGAAGAGUUCAUGGACGGGUAGAGAUACAACCAAUUUUGGUGUGACUUCACUGAAAUCGGACGGAAGUGUAGAAGAAGAUUAUCAUGACCUUGACGUCAUCAACCUUUCAUCUGCCUCUCCUCAUUCUGUCGAAACAUUCAGAAAUCUGCAGAGAGGAAUUGCACAUCUCAAGCAAAGCGUGGCUCACUUAACUGUGUAUGGCUACAGUUCCUUGUCUAUGGAAGUUCCUUCUGGAGGCUCGACUUUUGAAACAUUUGCGAAAUUGCUGGCCACAUUAUCUUCACUCAAGGAAGUUCAAUCUGCGCUUUCUAUUGGUUUGUCAAGUUCCAACAAUCAAAGACACGAGCCGAACAAAUCGGUGUGGAAUUUGAACUCCUCAAGUUCGAGCACCUUGCUGAACAGCUCGCAUACGCAGCCAACUUCGUGGAACAAUAGCUAUUAUAAUGUUCCAAAUCGAGAUCCCAGCUAUAUGGUGGAGUUUCCUGAUGUGCAAAAGGAUAAAAACUUUAUUGGGGAAUGGAAUUUGGUUGAGCAUCCUCGUUCUUCACAUCAGCCUAUGAUUUUUAACCAUCCCAAGAAGUAUUGAUCAUCUCAAGCUAGACAAUAUCUGCUUUUUACAUUCAUAAUGAUAAAAUUUGUGCCAACUCUUCAAUCCUAGGCACACCCUGGAACGAACAAUCAUAAAUGAACUCGGUGGAUCAAAUAUUGUGAAAGAGUCACUCUUCUGCGUUGCGGUGUUGUUGAUACAACCAAUGAAGGUCAUGUUUGGGCUUGAGAAUAUCCUCUGGCUUGUUUGGCCUUUAAAAUGAAAUGAAAGGAAACCACCAUAACAAUUAUAUACUUCUCUUUUUCAGUCACUCAACAGAAAAAAUCA